rnacentral:rRNA from 1 species
ACGGGUGAGUAACGCGUGAGCAAUCUGCCCUUCGGAGGGGGACAACAGCUGGAAACGGCUGCUAAUACCGCAUGAUGUAUUCGGGUGGCAUCAUCUGAAUACCAAAGAUUUAUCGCCGAAGGAUGAGCUCGCGUCUGAUUAGCUAGUUGGUAGGGUAACGGCCUACCAAGGCUUCGAUCAGUAGCCGGACUGAGAGGUUGAACGGCCACAUUGGGACUGAGAUACGGCCCAGACUCCUACGGGAGGCAGCAGUGGGGAAUAUUGGGCAAUGGGGGCAACCCUGACCCAGCAACGCCGCGUGAAGGAAGAAGGCUUUCGGGUUGUAAACUUCUUUGCCCAGGGACGAAACAAAUGACGGUACCUGGAAAACAAGCCACGGCUAACUACGUGCCAGCAGCCGCGGUAAUACGUAGGUGGCAAGCGUUGUCCGGAUUUACUGGGUGUAAAGGGCGCGUAGGCGGGAAUGCAAGUCAGAUGUGAAAUGCUGGGGCUUAACCCUGGAACUGCAUUUGAAACUGUAUUUCUUGAGUAUCGGAGAGGCAGGCGGAAUUCCUAGU